AGCGAACGCUGGCGGCAGGCCUAACACAUGCAAGUCGAACGGAUCCUUCGGGAUUAGUGGCGGACGGGUGAGUAACACGUGGGAACGUGCCUUUUGGUUCGGAACAACUCAGGGAAACUUGAGCUAAUACCGGAUGUGCCCUUCGGGGGAAGGAUUUAUCGCCAUUAGAGCGGCCCGCGUCUGAUUAGCUAGUUGGUGAGGUAAAGGCUCACCAAGGCUACGAUCAGUAGCUGGUCUGAGAGGAUGAUCAGCCACACUGGGACUGAGACACGGCCC
rnacentral:rRNA from 1 species